UCCUUCAGCUCUCCUUUGUUCGCCUUCCUCCUUCACCUCCAGCCCAAAGACAAUGGCCGCCUCCGCCGUCUCCCGCCUCAACCCCAUAGCCUCGCCUUACCUUCCGAUGACACUCGCUCCCACGUGGUGCUACCCCUCUCCUUUCUCCUACCUGCCGCCUCCGGCCCCACUCCCGCCGGCGCACGGGUGGCCUUUUGCCUACGGCGGCGACUGGUGCCACACAGUGGGGAUGCCCUCGUUCCCGCUGCAGACAGCAUACGGGCACCCCGCUCCAUUGAUGGUUUAUUGCUGCACGGCGCCGCCACCGCCACCGCAAUCGGCGACCCGUUGUCGAAUCACGGAGAUCAUCGAGGACGGAGGCGAGGUAGCCUCGAAGGAAGAGGUCAGGGACGAGCCUUCCCCGCGCUCCGUCCUCACUCCUUGGAGCAGGGAUCCGCCCACUUCGCCCCUGCCACCGCGAGCGCCGCUUCUGCGCCCCCCGCCGCGUACGUCUUCCGCGGGCAAACCUCGCCGCCGCCAGUGGCCACGCCUCGCCUUCAACCCCAAAGAGAAUAACACGUCCCUGAUGAUUCGCAAUAUUCCCAAUAAAUUUAUGUAUGUAAUACUAGUUGUUUGCCCUCUUUGUUUGAUCGAUCUCAUGUCACCUAGCUAGUUCAUGCUCGAUAUUUUUGGGUCUUCUGCUUAAAGAUUGGCUUCAUAUGGGACAUUGCAGGAAGAGGAGAUUCAUGGCUAUCCUCGACCAGCACUGCGCCGAGGAGAACGCCAAGCUCGGCGGCGACGGCGAAGGGGUCAGGUCCGAGUACGACUUCCUCUACGUCCCCGUCGACUUCGGGUAUGAUUGCUAGCGGUUUCCCCUCCCGAGAGUUACUUUCCAUACAAUCAAUGCUACCUUUUCCUACUCUUUGAAUCCAAUCCGUGUGCACCUUUUUGAUGAGGUUUAUUGUCUUUUGCACAGGACGAGGUUCAACAAGGGCUACGCCUUCGUGAACAUGACGACGGCGGCGGCGGCGCGGCGGCUCCACGCGCACCUCAACGGCCACCGCUGGGAGGCCGCGGGCUCCAAGAAGGUGUGCGACGUCGUGCACGCGCGCCUGGAGGUACGCGCCUAGUUACUGCUCGCUCUGGCUCGUCGGUUCAAUCUCCCCGUCGCGUGCUGCGCGCUAAUUAAUGUCCGCCAUCAUCAUGUAAUUGGAUUGGGGUUCGUAAUUCGUAUCGCAUGCAGGGGCUGGACGGGCUCGUGGCGCACUUCUCCGCGUCGUGGUUCCCCUGCGGCGGCCGCAAGGAUUUCCUGCCGGUGCGCUUCGAGCCGCCGCGCGACGGCGUGCGUUGGACGGCGGAGCACGUGGUCGGCCACCUCCAGCCUCGCCGCUCCUGCUGAUGGAAGCGCUCGUCGGCGGCCGCCGGCCAGCGGGCCUGGGUAAACUAUCAAUCAAUCUUUCUUGCAUUCUGUCCUCGUCCAUGCCAUGGAUGGAUAGAACGGGAGAUAGAUUAUAUCGCCUCAUCAUUCCAUGUGUUCUACAAAGUGUCGUUCCUCCUGGUUUAGUCAGUCACUAGAAUCUGGUAGAACUAGUAGUAGCAGAAGUGUUCAGUCCGUGUCCUAGAAUCCCCUUGUUGUAUGACAUGCCGGUGUGCGCGCGGCACCUCUGAACUGAUGGCCUCUCGCCAGGAAAUUUAAAUCUCUGUUGUUGUAUUACGUGUGCAAAUUUCC
rnacentral:lncRNA from 1 species